CGUAGGGUGCGAGCGUUGUCCGGAAUUAUUGGGCGUAAAGGGCUCGUAGGCGGUUUGUCGCGUCGGGAGUGAAACCAGGUGCUUAACACCUGGCUUGCUUUCGAUACGGGCAGACUAGAGGUAUUCAGGGGAGAACGGAAUUCCUGGUGUAGCGGUGAAAUGCGCAGAUAUCAGGAGGAACACCGGUGGCGAAGGCGGUUCUCUGGGAAUGACCUGACGCUGAGGAGCGAAAGUGUGGGGAGCGAACAGGAUU
rnacentral:rRNA from 1 species